UGAGGAAUAUUGGGUCAAUGGGGCGAGAGCCUGAACCAGCCAAGUAGCGUGCGGGAUGAAGGCCCUAUGGGUUGUAAACCGCUUUUACAGGGGGAUAAAGUGAGCGUCGUGACGUUCAUUGCAGGUACCUUACGAAUAAGGACCGGCUAAUUCCGUGCCAGCAGCCGCGGUAAUACGGAAGGUCCGGACGUUAUCCGGAUUUAUUGGGUUUAAAGGGAGCGUAGGCCGAAGGUUAAGCGUGUUGUGAAAUGUAGUCGCUCAACGGGUGCACUGCAGCGCGAACUGGCUUUCUUGAGUGCGCGGAAAGUUGGCGGAAUUCGUUGUGUAGCGGUGAAAUGCUUAGAUAUGACGAAGAACUCCGAUUGCGAAGGCAGCUGACUGUAGCGUAACUGACGCUGAUGCUCGAAAGCGUGGGUAUCGAACAGGAUUAGAUACCCUGGUAGU
rnacentral:rRNA from 1 species